rnacentral:rRNA from 1 species
CCUACGGUGUGCUGCAGUGGUGAAUAUUGCACAAUGUGGGAAACCCUGAUGCAGCGACGCCGCGUGAGUGUAGAAGUAUUUCGGUAUGUAAAGCUCUAUCAGCAGGGAAGAAGAAAGACGGUACCUGACUAAGAAACCCCGGCUAACUACGAACCAGCAGCCGCGGAAAUACGGAGGGGGCAAGCGUUAUCCGGAUUUAAUGGGUGAAAGGGGUGCGUAGACGGCUGGGCAGGACUGAAGUGUAAGCCCAGGGCUCAAGGCUGGGACUGCUUUGGAAACUGUGGAGCUAGAGUGCUGGAGAGGUAAGUGGAAUUCCUAGGGUAGCGGUGAAAUGCGUAGAUAUUAGGAGGACCACCAGUGGCGAAGGCGGCUUACGGGACAGUAACUGACGUUGAGGCUCGAAAGCGUGGGGAGCAAACAGGAUUAGAUACCCGAGUAGUC